rnacentral:lncRNA from 1 species
UGUAACAAAUGGCUGUUCUAAGUUUAACCUUUUUUUUUUCAGUUGUGAACGCAUACUACAUUAAUACUAGUCCAAAUGGCGUUUAGUGGAUUUUCCUUUUCGAAAGGGGAAGGCACAGAGUGCCACAUGCCAGGAAACUCAAAUGGAUUUUAUUGAGGACUGCACUCAACAGCAAGAGUUUGCCAGGUGGGAACCUUUGGGCUCCUUUGGCAAGCCUGGGGAUCUGAAGCCAGGAGAAUGACAAGCUGGUGGCUGGCUGACAUCUGCUAAUGAGGAAGAGCAGCAAGUCCCAUAUGCUGAGAAGUGCAGCCAGCCAGUGACCUCUCCGGGCUGGGUGCUCUCCACUGGCAAGGGAAAAUGGCUGUGACAAACCAACAACUAAAAUUUUGUGGGGGACAUUUUGGUUCUAAUAAAGUUUAAUAAAUAUGUGGAAAGUCUUUGGAUUUUAGAGGGUAGACUUAAUUGUUUUAACGAUACCCCCAUUUCUAA